UUUUGUUUGCUCAGUGGGGUUUUUAUUGCUCAGUGAGGUUGUUUUUUGGUCAGUGAGGUUGUUUUUUGGUCAUUGGGGUUGUUUUUUGCUUGGUGAGUUUUGUCUUUUGCUCAGUGGGGUUGUUUUUGCUCAGUGAGGUUGUUUUUUGGUCAGUGGGAUUGUUUUUUGCUUGGUGGGGUUGUUUUUUGCUCGGUGGGGCUGUUUUUUGGUCAGUGGUGUUGUUUUUUGGUCAGUGGGGCUGUUUUUUGCUCAGUGGGGCUGUUUUUUGCUCGGUGGGGUUGGUGUUUGCUCAGUGGGGUUGUUUUUUGCUCGGUGGGGCUGUUUUUUGCUCAGUGGGGUUGGUGUUUGCUCAGUGGGGUUGGUUUUUGCUCAGUGGGGCUGUUUUUUGCUCAGUGGGGUUGGUGUUUGCUCAGUGGGGUUGGUUUUUGCUCGGUGGGGUUGUUUUUUGCUCGGUGGGGCUGGUUUUUGCUCGGUGGGGCUGUUUUUUGCUCAGUGGGGUUGUUUUUUGCUCGGUGGGGCUGUUUUUUGCUCAGCAGCCCGAUUCUCCCAUUUCUCAUGCCUGGUUUCAAUGCCUACAGUGACACACAGUGGCGAUGGGCU
rnacentral:lncRNA from 1 species